GGAGUUGCUAUCUCAGUGGUAGAGUGCAUGCUUUAUAUGUAUGACAUCCUGGGUUUGAAUCCCAGCUGCUCCC
rnacentral:tRNA from 1 species